GAUUCUCUCUGUCUCUCCUUCUCGAAUUCGAAGCCUAGCAGCCACCACCCUCUCACAGUCUCACUCCGAUGAACUCUCUCCCCUCCGGCCACCACUACACAUCACGGCUUCAUCCCCACCUCCGAUUCUCUCCAUUGAUUCUCUAUGUGGGGUUUCAAAUUAGGGUUUCGAAUUGGGGCUUAGGGUUUCGAAUUGGGGAUUAGGGUUUCGAAUUAGGGGCUCGGGUCAGGAGGAGGACGAACUAUCUCUUCACUCUGUCUCUCUAUCUCCCAUCAAUCUUCACUGAUUCACUGUCACUUCUCUGAUUUCAUUUUGGGGUUUUCAUGCAGCCACCAAAGCUGAUCUGAAAAUCUGCACCACCACGGCCUGGGUUCUCUCUCUUUCUUCUCCGUCGACAACAACAACGAGGCAUUCAUCGCGGAGAUUUCAAACCAGAGUAGAAAGCCAUAGCCCAUAGGGUUUCCAUUGGCGCCCACGCGGUUAAUUUCCAGAUUUCAGCUUCCGUCUGCAAAUCGCUAGGGUUUCCAUUGAUUUCGCUGCAGAAGGGGGUUUCUGGUUCCCCGAUCGUCCCCUUCCUCUCUCUCUCCCGCGAGACGUUCAAUUUUUCGGAUCAUGCAGUGGCAGAUCGCGUAAAUUUUCAAAAUUUCAGCGAAAGUGUACGGAUUCGAAGCGAUGAUCUUCAACAUUCACGGCGGGUACUUGGAGGCCAUAGUGCAGGGUCACCGCUCGCCGCUGAUUACAACAACUUUUGCCAGUGCGAGACCCUCGACUAUAUCAAGAUGCACCUCUCUGCCACCGAGUACGGCCCCUACCUCCAAAACGGUUGAAUUAGGGCUUAAAUUUCGAGGUUGUGCUGAUUUUCAGAUCAGCUCUGGUGGCUGUCGAAGAGAAGAAGAUAAAGAGUUGGUGCGGGUGGAGGAAAGGGAAGGCCCGCAUCCAUAGGCCAUAUUUUUAUUUGUUUAGUUUUUUAAUUUUUUAAAUAUUUAUAUGGCCUAUAUUUACACGUGGAGCUUAGUUAUUAUCUAUAUGGAUGUCACGUCAUCAGUUAACGGCUGACUUAACAACCAACUUAACGAAUGUAUGAUAUUGUUUCAAAAUUAAUACUUGAGAUAUGACUCUGUGACUUAACAGCCAACUUAAUGAAUGUAUGAUACUGUUCCAAAAUUAA